rnacentral:rRNA from 1 species
CAGCCGCCGCGGUAAUACGAAGGGUGCAAGCGUUAAUCGGAAUUACUGGGCGUAAAGCGUGCGUAGGCGGUUUGUUAAGUCUGUUGUGAAAUCCCCGGGCUCAACCUGGGAAUGGCAAUGGAUACUGGCAAGCUAGAGUGUGUCAGAGGAUGGUGGAACUCCCGGUGUAGCGGUGAAAUGCGUAGAGAUCGAGAGGAACAUCAGUGGCGAAGGCGGCCAUCUGGGACAACACUGACGCUGAGGCACGAAAGCGUGGGGAGCAAACAGGAUUAGAUACCCGGGUAGUCCCUGUCUCUUAUAC